rnacentral:lncRNA from 1 species
GGGGGUAGAGCAGUCACUUCCCAUCACGGUCGCCGUCAUCGCUUCCCCCUCCGAAUCCAACAACAUCUCGCCUCGCCGCGGUUUCACUCCUCACUCCCCAUCCCUCUCCAGCAGCAGCUCGCGUCCACCGCCACCGCCCACCAUGAGCCGCGAUCAAUUCCUCCUCCGCCUCCUCGACCUCCACGCCGGCGACGACCCCUUCUUCCCCUUCCCCACCUCCUCCUCCUUCUCCUCCUGCCCAUUCUCCACCUCCUCCGCCCACCACCGCUUCCUCCUCGACGACCACCCCUCCUGCCCCCUCGGCUUCACCUCCCCAUCCCCGAUCGACACCUUCCACCUCGACCUCGACCUCGACCUCGACCUCCUCCUCCCUCCCCGCGCCGCCGCGCCCCCGUGCCCCGCCUUCUUCGACCCCUUCCUCCUCGACGCGCUCGGCCACCGCGUCUCCGCGCUCGAGCGCGCGCUCGCCCCACCACCCCCGGCGCCCCGCCGCAAGUACACCUACGCCGCCGAGGCCGACGGCAGGAAGGUCAAGUGGGUCGCCGAGGACAAGCCCGCCGGCGGGAAGGCCUACAAGUGGGAGGCCGAGCUCAAGACCCCCAACGACGACGGCUUCGACCGCAAGUGGAAGUGGGAGUCCAAGGCAUCCGCCGCCGGCACCACCAAGGUCAAGUGGGCCAAGGAGAUCAAGGGCAAAGGGUGGCUCGAGCCAUGGUCCAACUCCUACUCCGUCGAGGAGACCUACGGCGACGACGACGACCAAGACAAGGCCGCCACCGCCGCCGUCAACAAAGUCAAGGAGGAGAACAAGCCCAAGGAUAUGAAGAAGAAGAAGGGCAACGUCGAGAUCGUCGAGAUCGAGGACAACACCAAGGGAUGUGUCGCCAUCAGGAAGGUCAGAUCUUUAUGCACUGUACUGCCUGCGUUUGGUAGGCGAACUAUAAUGCGGCGCCUAGAUUUGGUCAAAUGUACAGCAAAGAUUGCAUUUUUAUGUCAGUUCCUGCUGCGUGGCUCACAGCUCGGCAAGAUCUGUGAGAAAUGCGAUCUUUUUCUUAGGAAUUCCCGUGAUUUUAGAUUCCAUUCUGUGCUAACCAUUUGGGAAAAAAAACAAAUGGAUUUUGGGUGCUGAAGUUACUGAAUAGUUGGGGGUUUAGUUAAUUCAACCUUGCAUUGCAUUCUUAUAGCUACAAAAAAAAAGAAUUCAAUUUGUUGGCCAUUUGUGCCUGUAAUCACAUCAUGCUCCUCUCCCCAGGCAUUUGAAAUGAGCCAUGCCAAGGGAAAGAAGAAGGAACUAUCCCAACAAGAUGCUGCAUUGCUGAUACAGAUGAGCUACAGGGCGCACCUGGCCCAUCGCUCCCAGGUGCUCCGAUGCCUCCGCGACCUUGCUGUGGCCAAAGCCAAGCUCAAGGAGAUCAGGUCCUUCUUCUACAACAUCUCAUACCGCCGCCGCAUUGCCCAUGACUCUGAAGAGCGCCAGAGGUUCGCUGAGAAAAUCAUUGUGCUGCUCUUGACCGUUGAUGCCCUUGAGGUAAGUUCUUCACCCAUUUGAUGCUACUUUCACUAGUAUAUGUUAAUACUAAACUUGUAUUCCGUGUAUGUUCACUUGUUCACCAUACGCAGUUGUUCAUUUUCAGUUUCGGUUAUGACAACUGUUUUACACAAGAAUCUGUUAGCACUAUGCAAUGUUGUUUAGAGUACUACAAAUUACGUUUUACUAUCAAUAUUAUCCAGGACACUAGAUGAAAGUGGUGAUGACAUGCUCUGUGGCACUAUUGUUAUGGUCUUACAUGAUGUGCACAUUAACUUGAAAAAAAAUCUGAAACAUGUACUAGAGUUGACUUAUUGCUUUCACAGUUGAUCUUUUAAUAUGGUUGCUGGUGUAUAUAUAAUAUGCUCUGUCCAAUGACUGACACAUGACUGCCUUUAAGGGUGUUAGCCUUUAUGGCUUAAAUUUAAAUCAUUUCAGUACAUUUUUUACACUAUAUAAGUUUUUUGUACCGUCAAAUGUUUGCUGCUCUAGCCUCUGUUUGGCCACUUCACAACUCCAUGCACCUUUAAAAGUUUGCAGUUUUUAGGGCAGAUUGUAAUCUAAGGACAAAGCUGCAAAGAAUUUCCAAUUUAUGACCUGCAAAAAGGGAAAACAAAAGAAUCUUCUAAUCAUGCUCACAGUUUAAGGUCUUUUGUGAAUACGUGAACUGUGGAAACUCAAACUACAUCACCUUCACUGUUUGGGAAAAAAAACAUUCCGUUAAGGUUUUUUUGUCUGAUUCCCUGUUACUCUGCCUUGCAAUUGAUCCUGAAAAAACAAUGCAAGAAGAAACAAUUUAAAUGAUAAUCCCCUUAUGUUCCUGUUUCAUGUGCCAAUGCAUUACUUUGUGCUUGCCAGGGACCGGACUACAUGGUUCGCAAUGCCAAGAGAUCGAUGCUUGAGGAACUUGAGGGGAUGUUGGAGAUUGUUGACCCUCAGCCACCAGGGAAGCCAAGGACACUUAGCCGCAGGAAGUUUGAUCUCCCAGAAGGUGGAGCCAUCCCAAAGGAGAUGAGGGAUGGUGUCAAAAAUGUCGUCAGAAUUGUCGAGGAGGGCAAGUAAGAUUCAUCAGUGAU